rnacentral:snRNA from 1 species
CUGCCCCCUCCCAAAAAUUAAUCAUUUGGGGGUGAUGCCUGAAUCCUUACUGCUAAUGUGAGAUGAAUUUUUGAGCGGGUAAAGGUUACCCCUAAGGUGACAAGCCUACUUUGUGGGAUGCCUGGGUGUUGUGAUCUGCCCG